GAUGAAGAACGUAGCGAAAUGUGAUACGUAGUGUGAAUUGCAGAAUUCAGUGAAUCAUCGAAUCUUUGAACGCACAUUGCGCCCUUUGGUAUUCCAAAGGGCAUGCCUGUUCGAGCGUCAUUUGUACCCUCAAGCUUUGCUUGGUGUUGGGCGUCUUGUCUCCAGUCCGCUGGAGACUCGCCUUAAAGUCAUUGGCAGCCGGCCUACUGGUUUCGGAGCGCAGCACAAGUCGCACUCUUUUCCAGCCAAGGUCAGUGUCCAACAAGCCUUUUUUCAACUUUUGACCUCGGAUCAGGUAGGGAUACCCGCUGAACUUAAGCAUAUCAAUAAGCGGAGGA
rnacentral:misc_RNA from 1 species